AGCUAGAGGUGUAGGAACCACUGCAGUGCGGGAGCCAAUGCUGCUGCCAGAGCAUGGAAGCCGCUGCCCCUGCCGGACCACCAGAGUGGCUGGAGUGCAGGAGCCCUUGACUUAGCUAAAGCGCAGGAACCAAAGCCGCCCCCAAAUCAUGGGAGGAGGAGCCACUGCUCCCGCCGCUGCCGCUGCUGCUGCCGCCGCCACACCAGAGCAUGAAAGCAUCCAGUUCACAGGAGCCUCUGGAGUGCAGGAGCCAACGCUGCCACCGCCCAGGGAGAGUGGGAGCCGCUGGAGUACAGGAGCCAGUGAUACUGCCAUGAGAGCAAGGAAUCUAACGCUACAGAGGUGAUGGCGUCCAGAACUCAGGAGCCACCAACACUGCCCAUAGAGCACUGGAGCUGCUGGAGUGUAGGAGCCAAUGCUGUUGCAGCUGGGAUGCAGGACCUGCUGCCACCAGAGCUCAGAGCCGCCAACUAUGGGACCCAAGCCAAAGGAGGUGGUAGCAGCAUUCCUGGGAAGAUGGGCCAUGAAAAGAGGUGUGGCUUGGAGCAGGAACUGGAGAACCUAAGGAUAGUGGCUACCUGA
rnacentral:lncRNA from 1 species